rnacentral:sRNA from 1 species
AUCGCUUCGUAAGGCAAAGUUGUUAGACAAAAGUAAGCAAAAGCAAGUUUCAAAUUUUAUUGUAAAAAGUAAAGUAGUGUUUUCUGUUUUUCCCUUAACUUAAUGGCUAGGACUUACGAACGUGUCGCACAAGCGACGUUUAAUCAAUCUUAAAAAAUACUAAGGGACAUAACAUGUCAAAGACUACUGGUACAGUAAAAUGGUUUAACGAAGAAAAAGGUUUCGGUUUCAUUUCUCAAGACAACGGCGGUGCUGACGUAUUCGUUCACUUCCGUGCAAUCGUUUCUGACGGCUUCAAAACUCUUGCUGAAGGCCAAAAAGUAUCUUUCGAAGUUGAACAAGGUCAAAAAGGCCCUCAAGCUUCUAACGUUACUGUAAUCUAAGUAAACCUUUAGAUUAAAAGUUUCUAAAAGCCCGCUGUUUUCAGCGGGCUUUUUUC